AAUCUAUGCUGUGGACACUUCUACAAAAGAUCCUUGAAUUGCACCCAUGUCUCAAACAAGGACUCGAGCUCUAUCUGAACAAAUGACGAUAUCUUAUUGUGAAGCUU